rnacentral:rRNA from 1 species
GACGGAGGGUGCUAGCGUUGUUCGGAAUGACUGGGCGUAAAGGGCGCGUAGGCGGCCGCGUGCGUCGGAUGUGAAAGCCCGGGGCUCAACCCCGGAACGGCAUCCGAUACGGGGCGGCUCGAGACCGAGAGAGGUGAGUGGAAUACCCAGUGUGGAGGUGAAAUUCGUAGAUAUUGGGUGGAACACCGGUGGCGAAAGCGGCUCACUGGCUCGGUUCUGACGCUGAGGCGCGAAAGCGUGGGUAGCGAACAGG